GCCAGGGUGGACCGGAGACUGUGGCUGGAGACCAGGGGCCCACAGCACCGGACCAGAGGACCAGGAAUCCAUGGCUGAAGGAGCUGAUGGAGGAGUCGUGCUGAAGGCCCUGCCUGGUGGAGGAGAUGGUGGAGGCCCUGCCUGGUGAAGGACGUCUGUCGUGGGACCAGGACUCUGUCUGAGGAGAGCUGCUGGAGGAGCUGAGACGCUGGAGGACGACUAGGAAUCGACCAACAAGGAUU